rnacentral:rRNA from 1 species
CGCACGGGUGAGUAACACGUAUCCAACCUGCCGUCUACUCUUGGACAGCCUUCUGAAAGGAAGAUUAAUACAAGAUGGCAUCAUGAGUUCACAUGUUCACAUGAUUAAAGGUAUUCCGGUAGACGAUGGGGAUGCGUUCCAUUAGAUAGUAGGCGGGUAACGGCCCGCCUAGUCUUCGAUGGAUAGGGGUUCUGAGAGGAAGGUCCCCCACAUUGGAACUGAGACACGGUCCAA